rnacentral:siRNA from 1 species
UCCAGCCAAUUUACUUGUGUUAGC